rnacentral:rRNA from 1 species
AUUGAACGCUGGCGGCAUGCCUUACACAUGCAAGUCGAACGGUAACAGGUCUUCGGAUGCUGACGAGUGGCGAACGGGUGAGUAAUACAUCGGAACGUGCCUAGUAGUGGGGGAUAACUACUCGAAAGAGUGGCUAAUACCGCAUGAGAUCUACGGAUGAAAGCAGGGGAUCGCAAGACCUUGUGCUACUAGAGCGGCCGAUGGCAGAUUAGGUAGUUGGUGGGAUAAAAGCUUACCAAGCCGACGAUCUGUAGCUGGUCUGAGAGGACGACCAGCCACACUGGGACUGAGACACGGCCCAGACUCAUACGGGAGGCAGCGGUGGGGAAUUUUGGACAAUGGGCGAAAGCCUGAUCCAGCAAUGCCGCGUGCAGGAUGAAGGCCUUCGGGUUGUAAACUGCUUUUGUACGGAACGAAAAGCCCCGGGUUAAUACCCUGGGGUCAUGACGGUACCGUAAGAAUAAGCACCGGCUAACUACGUGCCAGCCGCCGCGGUAA